GUUUCUGUCCAUUGCUUCUUUAUUGCUUGGCACCACCGAGAAGAGCCUGGCUCUAUCCUCUUGACAUGCUCUCUUCAGAUACUUGUAGACAUUGAUGAGGUCCCCUGUCGGUCAUCUCUUCUUGAGACUGAACAGGUCCAGAUCCCUCAGCCUUUCUUCAUGAGAGAUGCUCCAGUCCCCUGAUCAACUUUGUUGCCCUCUGCUGGACCCACUCCAAGAGUUCCAUGUCUCUCUUGUACUGAGGAGCUCAGAACUGGACACAACGCUCCAGAUGUGACCUCACAAGGGCUGAGUAGAGGAGCAGGAUCACCUCCCUCAACCUGUUGGCCAUGUUCUUCCUAAUGCACCCCAGGACAUCAUUGGCUUUCUUGGCAUGAGGACACACUGCUAGCUCAUGGAAAGCUUGUCAUCCACCAGGACCUUGAGAUCCUUCUCUGCAGAGUUGCUUUUCAGCAGAUCAGCCCGCAGCCUGUGCUGGUGCCCAAGGUUAUUCCUCCCCAGUACAAACUGGAACAAUGGUGAGGAAGAGCUCACAGGAACUCAAACCAGAGUUGCAUAAAUUUAAAACAGCAAUAAUGAUGGGAAUGACAAAGUAUGCCAGAGCGUUAUGUGAUGACGGACGAGGGCCAACACUACAAUUUAUGUUUGUGACCUGGCACAUGGAUGGAAACAGAGAGUAUGAUUCAGUGGUUUUUGCAGGCUUAAUCCCUACUAAAGAGUGGCUCUGCCAAGGUAAACGUGGCAUUUUAAAUGAAACUGCUUUGCAUACACUGCAUGGAACCUGAGAUCCCACUUUUGUACUGCGGUUUCCUUCCAAAAUGUAGCUACUGCCUGACAGGGCAGAGUAAGUGUGCAGUCUGGGCUCCCCUGUGUUAAGAGUGUUUGGUCUGCUUCAGCAAAUGGCAGUGAUGAGCAGACUGUGCAAAAGGAGUGAGACGUUAUUUGAACAUGUAUAUUCCCAAGGCUA